rnacentral:misc_RNA from 1 species
GAAACGCGAUAGUUAAUGUGAAUUGCAGAAUUCAGUGAAUCAUCGAGUCUUUGAACGCACAUUGCGCCCAUAGGUAUUCCUUUGGGCAUGUCUGUUUGAGCGUCAUUACAACCCUCAGCUAACCGCUGGUUUUGAACCUGAACGGGUGACACCGCGCCGGUUUUAAAGUUGUAAGCUCUGCUGGCCGCUCUGCCCAACCAGAACAUAGUAAGCACUACUUGUCCAGGUGAAGCUGAACGGUACGGCCUGAACAAAACCUACCCACUCUCAAGGUUUGACCUCAGAUCAGACAAGGAUACCCGCUGAACUUAAGC